rnacentral:lncRNA from 1 species
UGACUUAGUAGUUAAAAAGCAGUGAGCUGCUUGUUUUAUUUAAGCAACACAUGCAUACUUCAUCAUGUCACCUGCAUGCUUCAUCAAAUUCACAUGCUUGCUUCACCGAUUACACACCUGCCUGCUUCAUUCACUUGGCCACCCCCUGUUUACGUCCUCCUAGUUGCAUCAUUCUGUGCGGUACAUAAAGUCGAAAUAAAUUUGAAGCUGCUUCAUUUGUCUUAAUUUGGAGAAUCCAAAGUCGAGAGCAAGCAAAAGGAAAAAGGAAGAGAAAUAGAAAAGCGAAGAAAGAAACUAAGAGAAAAAGCGAGAAGAGAAGAAAAUGGAAAGAAAAGAAAUAAAACAAAAUAAAAAUUGAAAACCGAGAGUGAGAAAGAAAUGGAAAAGGAAAGCGAAAGUGUAAAAGUUAUAGGAAAUUAGAUUUAUAUCCAAUGAAUUAGUGGGUAAUAAAUUUAUGAAAUUUAAGUAAUUAUGUUACAGGUUUCAUUAUAUGCAUCAUCUAAUUGUUAAUUUUUGAAUCCACAGGAGCCCUAAUGAACCCUAGAGUGAAAAAAGAUCUAUGAGUAGAUACUAUUAUUACUAUUAUGUAUGUUGUAAAGCAUUUAUACUUGAUAGUAUGAAUUAGUAUUAUGUUAUGAUUAUAUGUAUGCACAUUAUAUCAUUGAUUGAGCCAUGAGAUAUGAUUGCGAGUCGUCAUAUGUGUACCCUUCCCCAUAAACUCUGCACAUGCGUAUUAAGAUUUAGAUUACUCUAUACGUAUGAUAUAGUUAAAUUUCGUUAGGUAUUGACAGGUUUUUCCUCUGCUUUGCUAGUGCGAUAAUGAUCCCAGCGAGUAUGAUAGUUAUUCCCCUAGUUACUCUUUGGUGCAGUUUGUCAAGUAUGUACAUAUGAUAUUUCAUGUUUGCUUAUGCAUUAUGUUCAAUGUGGAGAUAUGUCAUAUGAUUCUGUAUAAGCACUAAUACACGCUUUACUCACACACACACACACACACAUAUAUACACUAAGACACAAGCUCACUAAUUUUCUAUUUACCCAAUUUCUCCCAAGUUUCACAGGAUUUUGUGUAGUUCAGUUUCUAAUCAUUUGGAGGUUGGGCCACGACACAUAUUGUUGCAUGACUUGCAUUUUGAGCACGUAUAUAUAUAGUGACAUAAGAAGUGUGCAAGUUCCUUUGGAUGGGCACAUAUUGUAUUAUAUGUUUAUAGUAGAGGCUCGAGGCCAGUUUUAUAUGUUUGAUAAAUUAAGUUUAUGUUAUGAGUUUUAGAUGUUAGAUCACAUGAUUCGCCUUAGAUAUAACAUAUGGAUCCGGGACGCUCAUGUCAUUAUAUAUGGUUUUUAUGCCAUUUACGACUAUUUUUGUACUUGGACAUCUGUCCCUCAUAUAUUAUAUAUGGUUUUUAAAAUAUCAAGUAUGCCUAUAUUUGAAAAAAAAAUUAUUCGCUCCUAUAUUAUAUAUGUAUUUUAGGUUGUGUACCAUAGUUUAUUUCCAUGGAUAUCUCUCGCUCAUAUAUUAUAUACGGUUUUUAGGACACCAGAUAUGACUAUAUUUAAAAAACUAUUAUCACUCAUAUUAUAUAUGGCUUCUAGGACGUGUACAAGAAUUUUUGUCCUUGGAUAGAUCUCACUUAUAUAUUAUAUAUGGUUUUUAGGACACUAGAUAUGACUAUAUUUGAAAAAUAAAAUAUUAUUCGCUCUUAUAUUAUAUAUGGAUUUUAGGUCGUAAAUGAGAAUUUUUGUCCUUAGAUAUUUCUCGCUUAUAUAUUAUAUAUGGUUUUUAGGACACCAGAUAUGACUAUAUUUGAGAAAACAUUAUCCGCCUGUAUACUAUAUAAGGAUUUUAUGACAUCAUAUAUGACUAUAUUUAAAAAAAAAUUAUUAUCUUUUUGUUAUUAUUAACUCACACAUAUAUUGAUGUGUGAGUUAAUAGGAAAUGGUAACUGAACUUCAAUAACAUGCCCGCCUGCACGUGUAA